rnacentral:rRNA from 1 species
UACGUAGGGGGCAAGCGUUGUCCGGAUUUAUUGGGCGUAAAGAGCGUGUAGGCGGCUAUACAGGUCCGUUGUGAAAACUCGAGGCUCAACCUCGAGACGCCGAUGGAAACCGUAUGGCUAGAGUCCGGAAGAGGUGAGUGGAACUCCUGGUGUAGCGGUGAAAUGCGCAGAUAUCAGGAAGAACACCAAUGGCGAAGGCGGCCCACUGGGCCGGUACUGACGCUGAGGCGCGAAGGCGUGGGGAGCGAACGGG